GGAGCGGUAGUUCAGUUGGUUAGAAUACCUGCCUGUCACGCAGGGCGUCGCGGGUUCGAGUCCCGUCCGUUCCGCCA
rnacentral:tRNA from 2 species